AAACUGAUAUGCAAACAAAGGCUAGCUGUUACCAUUUCACAAAUCAAUUCACUCAUUUACUAAUUUAAGUGUACUAUAUUAGCAAACCAAUGUAGGGAAUGAGGGUUUAGGGUAGGGUUGGCAACCUUCUCACUCUGAAAUACGGGACAAAUGAUCACCUGCCGCAGCAGUGCGGAUAUGAUUUUGUGUAACUUAUAUUUAAGCCAUUUGUUAAAAUGAUAGCUAACCUCCUAAUUAAAUAUUAAUUUAUAACUCUUAUGCCUUGGCAACAGGUUUAAUAAUAGUUUGAUCUGCUUCUCAGUUCUUGUGGCACCACAUGAAGUCUAAAAAGCCUGUAUCAGGCUUUGGUUAGAUCAGGGUAGCAGGCAAAAAACGGGACAAAUAAAUUAGGCCCAAAACAGGGGACACCCCGGCUAAUAUGGGACAGUUGGCAACCCUAGUAAUGUAUCCUCUUUUUUUAAAUGCGGUUUCAGGUUCCCAAAAUGCCGGAUCCGUAUGGACGAAACGCAGAUAUUUUUACAUAAAUAUCCAAACGAGUCUCCGUGUGGAUGGGCUCUUUAUAAAUAAUCAUGUGUGUCAAUAUUAGAUUUGAGCUGCCAGUGUGAACAAGGCUUAACUGACACCAGACAACCCCAAAGACAGUUGAAGCAUCAGUGACUCUCAGAGCCCUGCUGGGAAACCCAGCAUACCAGCAAGACCAGAAUAUGUUGUGUUUUGGUGCUGGUUUGCUAGUGAACACCAGCUAAACCAGCACCAAACCACCAUCAGCACCAGCUAAACCAGCACUAGCACCAGCAUCCCAUGUUGUUCAUACCAGCAAGACCAGCAUAUGUUGUGUUUUGGUGCUGGUAUGCUGGUGACCACCAGCUAAACCAGCAUCAAACCAGCAUAAUUCCCAUGCUGGUUUGAUGCUGUUUUUUUCAGCAGGGAGGCUGACUUUGAUGUUCCUGGGAACACUGGCUUGAUCAGCAAUCAUUUGAUUGGUCGAUAAAGAGGCAUGGAAAUCAUGGUUUGGAUAAGAAGCUACGCUUGCUCACAUCCACAAAAACUGGCAGUCAUGUUUAAAGCAGUGUCUUGUCCUGCAUAUUUUGAAAAGAAGCUGUAAUGAUCUUAAACUAAAUUAAGUCAGACAACCUUGUUAAAAUUCCAGUGCUUUUCCUUAAGUGUGCCCAAGAAGACUGUUACUUUUUAAGCGCUGCAAAGAUUUUCAAUGAAGGCAGUCAAAGAAGUCGUUGUACUGGAGUAAAUCAGUAAGCAUUUCUCUAGAGCAGUUGUCUCCAACAUGGUGCCCGCGGGCACCAGGUUGCCCGCACAGAGUCUGUGAGAUGCCUGCCAAAGCACAUUCUAUUAAUAACCUCAAUUUUAAUAUUUAUUCAUUACAUAUUUUAUAUAUUAACUUGGCUUCUUUUUUGUAUGUCAACAAGUGAAACAAAAAAAGGUGAUAUCCAAAAAGUAGCCCUCCAGAUUGUUUUAUCCAAUGUCGUAGCCCUUGCUCACAAAAAGGUUGGGGACCCCUGCUCUAGAGACACACAAGUAUAACACAUGUUACAUUCAGCAUGUAAUAAGCUUAUAAUACUGGAGAUAUAAAUCCCAUGCUAUUUGCAAAAUCAUAUCUGUAUGCAUGAUAGACCCACCGUUCUUCUUGCACAAAAAGACUGCACUGUGCAUUGGGAAACAGGCAAACUUGUAUUCCUGCUUUUCUAUAAGGUGAGGGGAGCAUGCAAGAAGACAUGCAAAAUGCUUUGCAUUUCAGUAUAUGUAUAUUAAGCUCACUGCUACAAAUUCAAAGUAUUGCCUAGCAUUUACAUAGACAUCAAAAAAGUUGUCAGGGUUCCUACUAUUGCGCUUUGAAGUGAUUCCAAAGCCAGUCGAUUUUGAAGCGAUUCUUCAUCUGAAAGAAAACAGUCGAUGAGACAUAGCACAUGCCAACAUACAGAAUUCACCACAGACUUUAGUUAAUGUUUAAUUUAAUUUUUUUUACUUUAGAUUAACAAAAUAGGAACAUUGUAGGAGGUGUAGAAUUAGUGUCUUUGUUUAACUAAUAAAAGUUUAAUUAUUAAAAGUAUUUUUGAUAUGGAAAACAUGCUUUAUGCAUGUUUUUUAAUUUAUUUUAAUGAAAGGAAAUGUUGUUUUUCAUAUGAAGUAAUCAUAUUCAAACUUAAUGACAUAAUUAGGUUAAUAAAAAAAAAUAAUUAUACCCCAUUUUUUUUGUUUACCAAAAACGAAUCUGUGCCACUAUGUAAAAUCUAUGCAUGUGCAAAUAAUGGCUUUGAUCUUUUUUUGGAGGGGUGAUAGAAAGAUGGAAUAUUAGAGUAUGUGUGACAAACAAUCACACAAAACAAAAUGCCUGACACAAAAUACAUCAGUAUUGGACUAAAAAUAUUAAAGCAGUUGAUGAAAGUAGUAUCCUGGCUUUGUUACACGCUUCUGUAACUGUGCCGGCUGCCAUCGAUUUCUUCUUCCGUGCACUUAGAGGACUUUGCUGAGAAUUUGUCGUGGCAUUUAACAGAUUUUGCAAAAAAAGCGGUAUUUCUAAAUGGCCUCAGGCCAGGAUUAACUGGAUUUCAAGCUAAUGUAUUUGAUGAACGUAUAAUACCUGGCGUCAAUAACAUUAUCUAAUUUUUGACGGAGGUGGCGUAUCUUCAUUUCUUAAAAGUACUGUUUCAACCAAACAGAGGAUAUGAAGAUAUAAUAAACUCAUAAUGUGAAAACUUCAGAGAAAACUAGCUGUAGAGUUCAAAUGACAUAUUACAUGUCCAAAUUAAAAACAAAA